AUUGCACGCUGGCGGCCGGCCUCACACAUGCACGUCGAACGAGUGGCGGACGGGUGAGUAAUGUCUGGGAAACUGCCCGAUGGCGGGGGAUAACUACUGGAAACGGUAGCUAAUACCGCAUACCCUCGGAUGUGCCCAGAUGGGUUUCGCUAGUAGGUGGGGUAACGGCUCACCUAGGCGACGAUCCCUAGCUGGUCUGAGAGGAUGACCAGCCAAACUGGAACUGAGACACGGUCCAGACUCCAACGGGAGGCAGAAGUGGGGAAUAUUGCACAAUGGGCGCAAGCCUGAGACAGCCAGGCCGCGUGUAUGAAGAAGGCCUUCGGGUUGUAAAGUACUUUCAGCGAGGAGGCGUUACUCGAAGAAGAAGCACCGGCUAACUCCGUGCCAGCCGCCGCGGUAAUUC
rnacentral:rRNA from 1 species